AUCUCUCCUCUCUUCGUCUCUCUCCUCUGCUCUCUCCAGGCGACGGAGAGGCAGCGGCGGCCGGCGGCCGGCGGCCGGCGGGAGAGAAGGGAGCGGCGCGCAGCGGCGGAGGCACGGCUCCGGCGGUUGUGGGCAGAAGAGGAAUCGGCGGCGGGAAGUGGCUCUGGCUGCGGCGGCCGCGGUCGCUGCACAUGCUCGACCCCUUCGCGGCCGCUGCCGCGCCCGCCGCUGCCGAGGCUCCGUCCGGGGAGGCCGCCAUCGCCGCUGUCGGAGCGGCGGCGGAGGAGGCAACCCCGACGCUGAUCGACGCCUCAGCAAGCUCAACAACCACCUUGAUAAGAUGCUGAAAGACAUGGAGGAAUCAUGGCUGGGGCCAUGGAAAUGCCUUCUCUUGGGAUACGAAUGUACGAUUUAACUGACCAACACAUUGAGGCAGCUCUGACAAACCUGAUUGCUGGUCUGGAAUCAGAAUACAAAUUUGAAGUAAAUCCAGUGCUCAUCAAGGUCAUCCUUGGUGGUGCUAUGUCAGUGGAUGAAGUGCAGGACUGUGUUUCUCAACUUAUAUCGUGUAAAGGCUAUUUUGGCCGAGGAGGGUGUUGUGGGAAAGACAGACUUAGAGCCUUCUCUUCUUGCUGUAUUGAGUCUGAAGCUCUGGAGACAGUCGAAUGCUUAAUAAAAAGUACAGUGAAUGAGCUGAGUGAACCAGUUGAUAGAGAUCCA